CCUACGGGUGGCAGCAGUCGAGAAUCAUUCACAAUGGGGGAAACCCUGAUGGUGCGACGCCGCGUGGGGGAAUGAAGGUCUUCGGAUUGUAAACCCCUGUCAUGUGGGAGCAAAUUAAAAAGAUAGUACCACAAGAGGAAGAGACGGCUAACGCUGCGCCAGCAGCCGCGGUAAUACGGAGGUCUCAAGCGUUGUUCGGAUUCACUGGGCGUAAAGUGUGCGUAGGCGGUUUCGUAAGUCGUGUGUGAAAGGCGCGGGCUCAACCCGAGGACGGCACAUGAUACUGCGAGACUAGAGUAAUGGAGAGGGAGCCGGAAUUCUCGGUGUAGCAGUGAAAUGCGUAGAUAUCAAGAGGAACACUCGUGGCGAAGGCGGGUUCCUGGACAUUAACUGACGCUGAGGCACGAAGGCCUGGGGAGCGAAAAGGAUUAGAUACCCUGGUAGUC
rnacentral:rRNA from 1 species